GCGGCAAUAGCUCAAUGGUAGAGCCCCGGCUUCGCAUGCGGGGAGACACCUGGGUUCGAUUCCCGGAUGCUACU
rnacentral:tRNA from 1 species